UUAUUGUUACAUUCUGAUU
rnacentral:miRNA from 1 species